CAAUUCUGGUCACCUCCUCCCCCCAGUGGGCGAGGACAAACACAACCCUGGGGAAUAAGGAGCGAAAAGUAGCCAGCAGUUUUCUGGAGCCGAGAAAACCUGUGUUUUUGCGCUUAGGUUACUUUUAUCUGGCUGAAACUUUACCUAGGAGCUUUUGAGGCUCAGACGCGGAGUCUUUGUUCUGCAUGGGACUGCUGCUGCCACUUAAAGAGAUCGCAGAUAACGUCCCCGAUGUGAGAUCAGUGCGCAAUGCACAUUAACUUUUUUUUUCUUUCUUUUUUAAGCUCUGCCUCUAACCUACGGAGGGAUCACGCGGCAGUGGGGGGCAGAUAAAAGCCCUUUGGCCGAGGGUCACCUCCGUCCUUGUUGUUCACUUGAGAGCAGUGGAGAGGAAAACGGUCCCCACGGGCGGACUUUGGCUUCUGGAGCCGCGCAGCCCAGCGGGCCGGGCCGCCCGGAGCUCCGCCUGGUCCCAGAGCGUCUUGGGAGAGCUGGAUGCUGAAGGCGGACCUCGGCCUAGUUCGCGGGCUGAAAUAGGACUCGAUUUCGAGGAAAUCGAUCAAUCUGCAGAAAACAAAACAAAACAAAACAAAAAUGGAAGUCGAGUGAGACCAGCCUAGCUCCCGAGCCGGCGGAGUCGUUCCUCUCGCCCCUCCCGCUCCCACGCGGGCCCCCCUCCAGCAUCGCUCCUGCCACCACCUCGGUUCCACUCAAUCGAUUUUUGCUGCAUGUCAACACUUAUUACCGCAAAGGAGAAGAUGGUGCAGCCUCGCGUUACCCUGAGGAUAUUUUCAGAGGCUCCCGGAGAAGUGGUGGCUCAGACGGCAACCUACGCACCUCCGAAAGGGGACCCCUUCGUGUCCCCGCACUGUUGUCUGCACGUCCCUUGGGACAACCAACCCGGAAUCUGAUCCUCAGCUGCCGCCACGCGCCCACCUCCCUCUGGCAUCCCCACCCCGCUGCUCCUCGCUAGCGUCGAAGACCCGCCCC